GACGAACGCUGGCGGCGUGCUUAACACAUGCAAGUCGAACGGAAAGGCCCGGCUUUUGUGGCGUGCUCGAGUGGCGAACGGGUGUGUAACACGUGAGUAACCUCCCCCUGUCUUUGGGGUAACUUCAGGAAACUGCGGCUCAUACCCGAUAGGAGCUCCUGCUGCAUGGUGGGGGUUGGUAAGUUUCGGCGGUUGUGGCUGGUCUCGAGGCUUAUCCGCUUGUUUGUGGGGUAGUGGAGUACAAAGGGUUUGACGGGUAGCCGGCGUUGGAGAGUGGCCGGGCACAUUGGGACUGAGGGACGGCCCAGACUCCUACGUUAGGCAGCAGUGGGGAAUAUGGCACAAUGGGCCGAAGCCUGAUGCAGAAACGUUGCGUGCGGGAUGACGGCCUUCGGGUUGUAAACCGCUGUCGCCUGUGACGAAGCGUGAGUGACGGUAAUGGGUAAAGAAGCACCGGCUAACUACGUG
rnacentral:rRNA from 1 species